GACGAACGCUGGCGGCGUGCUUAACACAUGCAAGUCGAACGAUGAAGCCGGAGCUUGCUCCGGUGGAUUAGUGGCGAACGGGUGAGUAACACGUGAGCAAUCUGCCCUUGACUCUGGGAUAACUGCGGGAAACUGUAGCUAAUACCGGAUACGAGGCCUGGAGGCAUCUCCGGGUCUGGAAAGAAUUUCGGUCAAGGAUGAGCUCGCGGCCUAUCAGCUAGUUGGUGAGGUAAUGGCUCACCAAGGCGACGACGGGUAGCCGGCCUGAGAGGGUGACCGGCCACACUGGGACUGAGACACGGCCCAGACUCCUACGGGAGGCAGCAGUGGGGAAUAUUGCACAAUGGGCGAAAGCCUGAUGCAGCAACGCCGCGUGGGGGAUGAAGGCCUUCGGGUUGUAAACCUCUUUUAGCAGGGAAGAAGCGAAAGUGACGGUACCUGCAGAAAAAGCACCGGCUAACUACGUGCCAGCAGCCGCCGCAG
rnacentral:rRNA from 1 species